GUUCAUGGCUCAGGAUGAACGCUAGCUACAGGCUUAACACAUGCAAGUCGAGGGGCAGCAUGUAUCUGGCUUGCCAGAUACGAUGGCGACCGGCGCACGGGUGAGUAACGCGUAUCCGACCUGCCGGCACACUCCGGGAUAGCCUUGCGAAAGCAAGUUUAAUACCGGAUGCCGUAAGGACGCCGCAUGGUGUUUUUACGAAAGGGGUUUACCGGUGUGCGAUGGGGAUGCGUCCCAUUAG
rnacentral:rRNA from 1 species